AGCUUGCUACCUGACCUAGCGGCGGACGGGUGAGUAAUGCUUAGGAAUCUGCCUAUUAGUGGGGGACAACAUUCCGAAAGGAAUGCUAAUACCGCAUACGCCCUACGGGGGAAAGCAGGGGAUCUUCGGACCUUGCGCUAAUAGAUGAGCCUAAGUCAGAUUAGCUAGUUGGUGGGGUAAAGGCCUACCAAGGCGACGAUCUGUAGCGGGUCUGAGAGGAUGAUCCGCCACACUGGGACUGAGACACGGCCCAGACUCCUACGGGAGGCAGCAGUGGGGAAUAUUGGACAAUGGGCGAAAGCCUGAUCCAGCCAUGCCGCGUGUGUGAAGAAGGCCUUUUGGUUGUAAAGCACUUUAAGCGAGGAGGAGGCUACUUGGAUUAAUACUCUAGGAUAGUGGACGUUACUCGCAGAAUAAGCACCGGCUAACUCUGUGCCAGCAGCCGCGGUAAUACAGAGGGUGCGAGCGUUAAUCGGAUUUACUGGGCGUAAAGCGUGCGUAGGCGGCUUCUUAAGUCGGAUGUGAAAUCCCUGAGCUUAACUUAGGAAUUGCAUUCGAUACUGGGAAGCUAGAGUAUGGGAGAGGAUGGUAGAAUUCCAGGUGUAGCGGUGAAAUGCGUAGAGAUCUGGAGGAAUACCGAUGGCGAAGGCAGCCAUCUGGCCUAAUACUGACGCUGAGGUACGAAAGCAUGGGGAGCAAACAGGAUUAGAUACCCUGGUAGUCCAUGCCGUAAACGAUGUCUACUAGCCGUUGGGGCCUUUGAGGCUUUAGUGGCGCAGCUAACGCGAUAAGUAGACCGCCUGGGGAGUACGGUCGCAAGACUAAAACUCAAAUGAAUUGACGGGGGCCCGCACAAGCGGUGGAGCAUGUGGUUUAAUUCGAUGCAACGCGAAGAACCUUACCUGGUCUUGACAUAGUAAGAACUUUCCAGAGAUGGAUUGGUGCCUUCGGGAACUUACAUACAGGUGCUGCAUGGCUGUCGUCAGCUCGUGUCGUGAGAUGUUGGGUUAAGUCCCGCAACGAGCGCAACCCUUUUCCUUAUUUGCCAGCGAGUAAUGUCGGGAACUUUAAGGAUACUGCCAGUGACAAACUGGAGGAAGGCGGGGACGACGUCAAGUCAUCAUGGCCCUUACGACCAGGGCUACACACGUGCUACAAUGGUCGGUACAAAGGGUUGCUACCUAGCGAUAGGAUGCUAAUCUCAAAAAGCCGAUCGUAGUCCGGAUUGGAGUCUGCAACUCGACUCCAUGAAGUC
rnacentral:rRNA from 1 species